rnacentral:rRNA from 1 species
UACGUAGGGCGCAAGCGUUGUCCGGAAUUAUUGGGCGUAAAGAGCGUGUAGGCGGCCCGGUAAGUCCGCUGUGAAAGUCCAGGGCUCAACCCUGGGAUGCCGGUGGAUACUGUCGGGCUCGAGUCCGGAAGAGGAGUGUGGAAUUCCUGGUGUAGCGGUGAAAUGCGCAGAUAUCAGGAGGAACACCAAUUGCGAAGGCAGCUCGCUGGGACGUAACUGACGCUGAGACGCGAAAGCGUGGGGAGCAAACAGG